rnacentral:misc_RNA from 1 species
GAUGAAGAACGUAGUGAAAUGCGAUAAGUAAUGUGAAUUGCAGAAUUCAGUGAAUCAUCGAAUCUUUGAACGCAUCUUGCGCUCCUUGGUAUUCUGAGGAGCAUGCCUGUUUGAGUGUCAUUAAAUUCUCAACUACACUGACUUUGAAUUGGUGUGGCUUGGAUUUGGGGGGAAAAUUGUUGUGGGCUUUUUGUAUAGUCUGCUCCCCUGAAAUUGAUUAGCGGUACCUUUGUGGAACUGUCUACAGGUGUGAUAAUUAUCUACAUCUUAGACAUCUGCUGGAAUGCUGCUUUCUAAACCUUACUUGUAUUGACAAUCUUGACCUCAAAUCAGGUAGGACUACCCGCUGAACUUAAGCAUAUCAAUAGCGGAGGA